GACGAACGUUGGCGGCGUGCUUAACACAUGCAAGUCGAACGGAAAGGCCCUGCUUUUGUGGGGUGCUCGAGUGGCGAACGGGUGAGUAACACGUGAGUAACCUGCCCUUGACUUUGGGAUAACUUCAGGAAACUGGGGCUAAUACCGGAUAGGAGCUCCUGCUGCAUGGUGGGGGUUGGAAAGUUUCGGCGGUUGGGGAUGGACUCGCGGCUUAUCAGCUUGUUGGUGGGGUAGUGGCUUACCAAGGCUUUGACGGGUAGCCGGCCUGAGAGGGUGACCGGCCACAUUGGGACUGAGAUACGGCCCAGACUCCUACGGGAGGCAGCAGUGGGGAAUAUUGCACAAUGGGCGGAAGCCUGAUGCAGCAACGCCGCGUGCGGGAUGACGGCCUUCGGGUUGUAAACCGCUUUCGCCUGUGACGAAGCGUGAGUGACGGUAAUGGGUAAAGAAGCACCGGCUAACUACGUGCCAGCAGCCGCGGUGAUACGUAGGGUGCGAGCGUUGUCCGGAUUUAUUGGGCGUAAAGGGCUCGUAGGUGGUUGAUCGCGUCGGAAGUGUAAUCUUGGGGCUUAACCCUGAGCGUGCUUUCGAUACGGGUUGACUUGAGGAAGGUAGGGGAGAAAUGGAAUUCCUGGUGGAGCGGUGGAAUGCGCAGAUAUCAGGAGGAACACCAGUGGCGAAGGCGGUUCUCUGGGCCUUUCCUGACGCUGAGGAGCGAAAGCGUGGGGAGCGAACAGGCUUAGAUACCCUGGUAGUCCACGCUGUAAACGGUGGGUACUAGGUGUGGGGUCCAUUCCACGGGUUCCGUGCCGUAGCUAACGCUUUAAGUACCCCGCCUGGGGAGUACGGCCGCAAGGCUAAAACUCAAAGGAAUUGACGGGGCCCCGCACAAGCGGCGGAGCAUGCGGAUUAAUUCGAUGCAACGCGUAGAACCUUACCUGGGUUUGACAUGGAUCGGGAGUGCUCAGAGAUGGGUGUGCCUCUUAUGGGGUCGGUUCACAGGUGGUGCAUGCCUGUCGUCAGCUCGUGUCGUGAGAUGUUGGGUUAAGUCCCGCAACGAGCGCAACCCUUGUUCACUGUUGCCAGCACGUUAUGGUGGGGACUCAGUGGAGACCGCCGGGGUCAACUCGGAGGAAGGUGGGGAUGACGUCAAGUCCUCAUGCCCCUUAUGUCCAGGGCUUCACGCAUGCUACAAUGGCUGGUACAGAGAGUGGCGAGCCUGUGAGGGUGAGCGAAUCUCGGAAAGCCGGUCUCAGUUCGGAUUGGGGUCUGCAACUCGACCUCAUGAAGUCGGAGUCGCUAGUAAUCGCAGAUCAGCAACGCUGCGGUGAAUACGUUCCCGGG
rnacentral:rRNA from 1 species